rfam:Candidatus Sungbacteria bacterium RIFCSPHIGHO2_02_FTLL_49_20 rifcsphigho2_02_scaffold_19601, whole genome shotgun sequence.
GCCCCCAUAGCUCAACGGAUAGAGCAGUCCCGUCCUAAGGGAAAGAUGUGAGUUCAAUUCUUGCUGGGGGCG